AAGGUAAUUCUUUUAAUACUCCUAAUUUAAAACUGUUAGAUUUUAACAUUUCCAAUACUAGUUUGACAAAAAUACUAAACGUGUUUUAUAAUAAUUAAAUUGUAAUUUAGUUCUUUUAUUCCUCUUCAUUUGGGGAGAAAUUAUAAUUUAUUAUACUUUUUUGUUCUUAGUUAUCUAAUGAAUAAACAACCCUUUGUACAUGUAUACGCAUUAGAAAAUAUUCAGAUAGUCCUCCUUCUUAGUGAUCAUUCAACGGCCAAAGUUACAAUGGCUUUGAAAAAAGUGACUUGCAACCCACCCUAAAAAAUAUGAUCACUCUCAGUCACAUGAUUGCAAUCUGAGCGCUCAGCAACCAGCUUGCUUUUGCAGUGAAGGCAGCAUCUUGCAAUCAUGAUUUGCAACCUUCAGAUGUUUAUAAGAACAUAUAAGGAUGUGUCUCAAAUGUAAAUCUUAUAGAAGAAAAAGGAACUAAUAUUUCUGCAUAUGAACAAGUAUCAAGGAUUACUGCUAUUCCUGCAGGAGGCACUUUACAAACAGAAAAAUACAUAUCUAUCCUAGUCAGAGUAAAAGGCACAAGAUUCAGAGCCCCUUUGUACCCUAAAAUGAUUCUGCUGCAGAAUCAUACUAGCUCAUUCUGUCCCAUUCUCAUCCUAAA